UUUCAGUUGGUUCAGCUUCAUCAGAAAUCGUGGGGUUAUGCACAGAUACAGCGCUAGUUGGAGCAUUAGGGUAAACAGGUUCAGGCAGUGAAACGGCCUCAUCUGUAAUAUUAGAGUGUUCAUUAAUACUAGCUUCUUCUGGAACAGGGAUUUUGGAUGGAGCCGCAGAAGAUACAGAUUCAUUCGAGGGUGCAGAAGGGACAUGAUUUGAAGCAAGAGUGUCUUGACGUUUCACUGGCUCAUACCUCCUCGUUUUCGCAUCAAUCACGACAGUAGUUCCAUCCUCAAAUUCAAUUGUGCUUCCCCAAUCGUCAUCGUCUUCGUCGUCAAUUUCAUCCCAUUUACCUUCUGAUAAGUGAGAUGCUCGGCGAGCACUGGUUGGAGAAGGAAGUCUUGUAGGAGAUACUUCUUCUGAAACAGGGGUGCCUGAAUCUUGAAAAUGUUUAGAAAUUUUGCUAACACGGUCUUGUCGCUCUUCAUCAACAGGUUGCUGGCGACAAGAAGAGGGAGCCGCAGAGGCGGCAAGGGCUUGAAGAUUCUUUGUAUCUAUAGUUGAAAGGGCUUCAUGAGAUGGAUGAGAAGAAGAAGAGAGAGAACUAGAAGUAUCUAGUCCUUUAAUGACAUUGCCAUUGGAAUCAUAAACCGUCCCAGUAAAAGAUGCAUAGGCAGCCGACAUAGAAUGGCGAGCAGCCGAAGCUGCUGCUGCUGCAUAUAAGGAAGGGGCGCUUUUCUUGUUAUUGGAGUUAUUGUCAAUGCUUUCAGGAGAAGAAGUCCCAAUAGAGGUUGGGUUAGAGGCCAAUCUCUCAGCAGAACGAAUUGCCCAAGGAUUUCCUGGAGCAGUCCUUUUUCCAGUAACAGAGCUCCCUCCAGAUCCUCCAGUACUAAGUUUUAUGGAUAAACGAACUUUGCCAUGGGUGCCUAAACCACUCGGGUUGUCGAUGUGCCCAACAGACUGCGACGAAGAAGAAAUAGUUUGCGCGUUAUUAUUUGAAUUUGUUGUAAUAUUUGCGCCAGUAUUUGAAGGUGGCACGCCAGCAUUUAAAGAAACGGGCGUAGUUUUCGGAGUGGAUCCUGCCGAACCAGGAGCCGUUGAAGGUGGAGAAGAGACAUCGACUUUCAAAGAGGAUAUUUGAUUUGUCGAAGUAUUACUCGCUCCAUUCACCGAUCCUGCCUUCCCUAAAUACGCCUUGUUCAGUGAAGAAGACUUAAUUUUCGGUCGCUUAAAUAUUGAAGAUAACGUUUCCGCCGGACUUUCCUUGCUUUCAUCUGCUGAUUUUAUAAUAGGGUCAUUUUCUUGAAUUCUCUCCAUGACCUAUUGAUAGAGACGUUUUUCUCCGUUAACCGGAAUGUGUGGUACACAAAUGGUGUUUUGAAGAAGCAGAGAGGUAGGGGCUUUCUCUGGGUGGAGCGUUAACGCACCGUAUGC